rnacentral:lncRNA from 1 species
UCGCUCCCGCGACUCCGCUGCGGGUCUGCACACCCGAGGACUCGGGGUACUUAACCGAAACUAGCAAUCCCAGGCGGUACAAGGCCCUCCAUCGUAGGCAAAGCACUACCUGAAUGUAGAUUUGGGCCAUACGUUGGAAAAUAAGACAUGAGAGUAUGCUCCGAUCAACUUUUACUGUUCACUGGACAACUAUUUUGGGAAUUUGCAGACCUAUAAAGCCCAUCUAUAAAUCUCAAGCAUGUCCACUUUCAGAGAAGAGAAAUGCUGACAACCAUUUAGUCUCUGAGGACAACACUUUUAAAGUGUAACAAUGUGGCAUCCAGAGCUUAUCCAGAUGAGCGGAGAGCAAAUGAAUUUCCUUCUGCUCCCCUGUUGAAGAGGAGAGAAAAAUUCUUCAAGCU